GCUUAAGUAGUUUAAAAGAUAAAAUUUUAGGUUGUGGUGCUAACGAUGAGGAGUUCCUUAAGUC
rnacentral:tRNA from 2 species